UAUUGGUGAUGAGUACAAUCUCUGAUAAAAUCCUUGAAUAUCUUUCCUAUGCUUGGUAUAAAUUCUCCUUAGGCUUUUUCCGAAAACCUAAUAUUUCACUUCUUAUCCA